GAGGGUUCCUACUGAGAGUUCCUACUUAGGGUUCCUACUGAAGGUUCCUACUGAGAGUUCCUACUGAAGGUUCCUACUCAGGGUUCCUACUGAGAGUUCCUACUGAGGGUUCCUACUGAAGGUUCCUACUGAGGGUUCCUACUGAGAGUUCCUACUGAGGGUUCCUACUGAAGGUUCCUACUGAGAGUUCCUACUGAAGGUUCCUACUCAGGGUUCCUACUGAGAGUUCCUACUGAGGGUUCCUACUGAAGGUUCCUACUGAGGGUUCCUACUGAAGGUUCCUACUCAGGGUUCCUACUGAGAGUUCCUACUGAAGGUUCCUACUGAGAGUUCCUACUGAGGGUUCCUACUGAAGGUUCCUACUGAGGGUUCCUACUGAAGGUUCCCACUGAAGGUUCCUACUGAGGGUUCCUACUGAAGGUUCCUACUGAGGGUUCCUACUGAGGGUUCCUACUGAAGGUUUCUACUGAAGGUUCCUACUGAGGGUUCCUACUGAAGGUUCCUACUGAGAGUUCCUACUGAGGGUUCCUACUGAAGGUUCCUACUGAGAGUUCCUACUGAGGGUUCCUACUGAGAGUUCCUACUGAGGGUUCCUACUGAAGGUUCUACUGAGGGUUCCUACUGAGGGUUCCUACUGUAGGUUCCUACUGAGAGUUCCUACUGAGGGUUCCUACUGUAGGUUCCUACUGAGGGUUCCUACUGAAGGUUCCCACUGAGGGUUCCUACUGAAGGUUCCCACUGAGGGUUCCUAGUCCUCCUUUCCCUAUUCAUUCUGAAGUAAGUCUCAUUCAGCCUAUGGCUGCACUCCAAACUGAAGCUCCGCCCUCCAACCUGCAACCCGCCCCACCAGUCAGAAGCUCCUCCGUGUUCACGAUUAAGCUCCGCCCCC